rnacentral:lncRNA from 1 species
CGGGGCUGGGGGCGGGGCGGGGCUAGGGCCCCCCCGAUGGGCGGGGCCGGGGCGGGGCUGGGGCCCUGGUGGGCGGGGCGGGGCCGGCGCGGGGGCGGGGCUGGAGCCCCGGUGGGCGGCGCGGGGCGGGGGCCGGGGCUGGGGCCGGAGCGCGCCGGGCGCCGGAGGACUCGCCGCUGACGGAGCCGCGCCGCGGUGCCUGCCUGUCCGCCCGCCGUCCCCGCGGCCCCGCGCAGCCCGCCCGGCGGGGGAGGCGCCGCGCACCGGGACGAUGGUCUGCAGGGCUGUGUUCGCGCUCUGCGUCCUCGCGGCAGUGACUUUUGUGCAAAUGGAUCAUCAG